AUGGAUCCUUCAGCGUCUGGACUCUCCAAUCUACCUCUGAAAUAUUAUCAUGCUGAGGUUAGUCCCGAAGCCCCGUCUGUCUUUCCCCUCACUUCCUGCUCCGCUGAAGCCACCAGCUCCCAGGUCACCUUUGGCUGCCUGGUCAAAGGCUAUUUCCCUGAGCCAGUCUCUGUGGAGUGGAGCCCCAGCAUCGGCUCCACGGGUGUGAAGACCUACCCCUCCAUGAAUCACACUUCUGGCGACCUCUACUCACUCAGCAGCCAAGCCACCGUCCCGGCCAGCAGCUGGGAAUCCAACACCUAUCGCUGCAACAUCAAGCAUGAACCCACCAACUCCAGCAUCACCAAGGAAAUCCCAAAACCCACACGUAUCGAACCCACGGUGCAAGUCUACCACUCCUCCUGCACCACUAAGCCAAGCACCAUCCACCUGCUCUGCCUCAUCUCCGGCUUCUCCCCCAUGCCCCUGAUGGUGGAGUGGCUGGUGGAUGGUGUGUCUGGGCAGCUUCGUGGAGAUACGGCCCCUGCCAAGAAGGAUGCCAGUAGCCCCACCUUCAGCACCCACAGCAAUGCCAGUGUCUCCCAAGAAGACUGGAUGCAGGAGAAGAUAUACACCUGCAAGGUGUCCCACCAGGGCAAAACAGUGGAGAAGCAAGCCAGCAAGUGCAAAGGCGGAAUUACAUAUAGAAGCAACAUCCUUGUUUUCAUGGUGCCCCCAGCCCCUUCUGAAAUGUAUGUAGCUCAGAGCCCCAUGCUCACCUGCCUGGUGGUCAACCUGUCUACUGUGGCUGGCCUGACAGUGAUCUGGACCUGGGAGAAGUCAGGGCCCCUUAACCCUGGACCCAUUGUCAAGAGUAGGCAACACAAUGGCACCUUCACCGCCUCCAGCUCCCUUCCCAUCGUCCUCCAUGACUGGGAGUCUGGAGAGAAAUACACCUGCAAAGUGGAGCACUCGGAGCUUCCCUCACCCAUCAUCAGAUCCAUCUCCAAGAAGCAAGGCAGGACGUCUCCUCCGCGUGUCUACCUCCUGCACCCCCACCCUGAGGAGUUGAGCAGCAAUGGAGACUCCGUCAGCCUCACCUGCCUGGUGCGGGACUUCUACCCUGAGCACAUCUCAGUGAAGUGGAUGGAGAACCAAGAGUCCAAAGACAGCAUGAAACCUGUCACCACCUCACCCAUGAAGGAAAGAGACGGCGACUUGAACUACUUCCUCUAUAGCAAGAUGACAGUCGACAAGGACAGCUGGAACAGAGGGAUCACCUAUACCUGUAUAGUCAUCCACGAAGCCCUGAAGCCAAAGAUGUUCACCCAACGCAACAUCCGCAAUGUCCCUGGUAAAUGA